CCCAUGCUCUGCUCCGCCUCGGCUCUCCGCGCACCGGCGCCGCUUCGCUGAUGCCGUUCUCGGGCGAAGAGCGGAGCCUGCAGGGGAUCUACAAGCCGGCGGGGCCGGCGGAGGGCAGGGCGGCCGGCGGGGCGGCCGUCUGUACCGAGUGCUACACCAACCGCUCCUUCGUCUACGACGAUGGCAGCGCUCACAGGCUCUCGUCGCCCGGCGGCUGCGGCGGCGGGGACGGCGGCGGGAGCCGCAAGAGCGGGGUCAUUCUGGACAUCGCCGCCCUGAAGAUGACGGAGCUGGAGUCCGAGGUGUUGCCACUACCGCCCCGGUACCGCUUCCGCGAUCUGCUGCUGGGGGACCAGUCCUUCCAGAGCGACGACAGGGUGCAGGUCGAGUUCUAUGUGAAUGAAAACACCUUCAAGGAGCGGCUGAAGCUCUUCUUCAUCAAAAACCAGCGAUCCAGUCUGAGGAUCCGGCUCUUCAACUUCUCGCUGAAGCUGCUCACCUGCCUCCUGUACAUUGUGCGUGUCCUGCUCGACAACCCAGAGGAGGGCAUAGGCUGCUGGGAAUGCGAAAAACAGAACUACACAGCAUUCAACCAGUCCACAAAGAUAAACUGGUCACACAUCUUCUGGGUGGACAGAAAAAUGCCACUGUGGGCUGUGCAGGUCAGCAUAGCUUUAAUCAGCUUUCUGGAGACCAUGCUGCUCAUCUAUCUCAGCUACAAGGGGAACAUCUGGGAACAGAUUUUUCGCAUUUCAUUCAUCCUUGAGAUGAUCAACACGGUGCCAUUUAUUAUCACAAUAUUCUGGCCUCCUUUGCGGAAUUUGUUCAUUCCCGUGUUUCUGAACUGCUGGCUUGCCAAAUAUGCCCUGGAGAACAUGAUUAAUGACCUGCACCGAGCCAUACAAAGGACCCAGUCUGCGAUGUUUAACCAGGUGCUCAUUCUGAUCUGCACUCUCCUGUGUCUUGUUUUCACAGGGACCUGUGGCAUCCAGCAUUUAGAAAGAGCAGGUGAGAAGCUCUCCCUCUUCAAGUCCUUCUAUUUCUGCAUUGUCACCUUUUCCACUGUGGGCUACGGAGACGUGACACCAAAGAUCUGGCCUUCCCAGCUCCUCGUCGUGAUAAUGAUUUGUGUUGCCCUGGUCGUGCUGCCGCUCCAGUUUGAGGAGCUCGUCUACCUGUGGAUGGAGCGGCAGAAGUCGGGAGGCAAUUACAGCCGUCACCGUGCACAGACAGAGAAACACGUCGUCCUUUGUGUCAGCUCCCUCAAGAUUGAUCUCCUCAUGGACUUCCUCAACGAGUUUUAUGCGCACCCACGGCUGCAGGACUACUACGUGGUGAUACUUUGCCCAACAGAGAUGGAUAUCCAGGUGCGGCGGGUCCUGCAGAUCCCUCUGUGGUCACAGCGAGUGAUCUACCUCCAGGGCUCUGCACUGAAGGACCAGGACCUCAUGAGAGCCAAGAUGGACAACGGAGAAGCCUGUUUCAUCCUCAGCAGCCGGAACGAGGUGGACCGCACCGCGGCGGAUCACCAGACCAUCCUGAGAGCCUGGGCUGUGAAAGACUUCGCUCCAAACUGUCCCCUCUAUGUUCAGAUUUUAAAGCCUGAAAACAAGUUUCACGUCAAGUUUGCUGAUCACGUCGUCUGUGAAGAAGAGUGCAAAUACGCCAUGCUGGCGUUGAACUGUGUCUGCCCUGCCACCUCCACCCUCAUCACACUGCUGGUGCACACCUCCCGUGGCCAGGAGGGCCAGGAGUCCCCGGAGCAGUGGCAGCGGAUGUAUGGGCGCUGCUCGGGCAAUGAGGUCUACCACAUCCGGAUGGGCGACAGCAAGUUCUUCAUGGAGUACGAGGGGAAGAGCUUCACCUACGCUGCCUUCCAUGCGCACAAGAAGUAUGGCGUCUGCCUGAUCGGCAUCCGGAGGGAGGAGAACAAGAGCAUCCUGCUGAACCCCGGCCCACGGCACAUCAUGGCAGCGUCUGACACAUGCUUCUACAUCAACAUCACCAAGGAGGAGAACUCUGCCUUCAUCUUCAAGCAGGAGGAGAAGCAGAAGAAGAAGGGCUUUGCAGGGAGAGGCACCUAUGAUGGUCCAUCCCGCCUGCCUGUGCACAGCAUCAUUGCCAGCAUGGGUACAGUAGCCAUGGACCUGCAGAACACGGAGUGCCGCCCUGCUAACAGCAGCAAGCUGGCGCUGCCAGCAGAGAACGGCUCGGGCAACCGCCGGCCCAGCAUCGCGCCUGUCCUCGAGCUGGCCGACACCUCGUCCCUGCUGCCCUGCGACCUGCUCAGCGACCAGUCGGAAGAUGAGAUGACACAGUCGGACGAGGAGGGGUCGGCGGUUGUGGAGUACGUGAAAGGCUACCCCCCGAACUCGCCCUACAUUGGGAGCUCCCCGACUCUGUGCCACCUUUUACCCGAGAAAGCCCCAUUCUGCUGCUUGAGGCUGGACAAGGGCUGCAAGCACAACAGCUUUGAAGAUGCCAAAGCCUACGGGUUUAAGAACAAACUGAUUAUCGUUUCGGCAGAGACGGCUGGGAACGGGCUCUAUAACUUCAUUGUCCCCCUUCGUGCGUACUAUCGGUCCCGCAAAGAGUUGAACCCAAUUGUGUUGCUGCUGGACAACAAGCCUGAGCACCACUUUCUGGAAGCCAUCUGUUGUUUCCCCAUGGUUUACUACAUGGAGGGCACAAUCGACAACCUGGACAGCUUGCUGCAGUGUGGCAUCAUCUACGCCGACAACCUGGUGGUUGUGGACAAGGAGAGCACGAUGAGCGCUGAGGAGGACUACAUGGCAGACGCAAAGACCAUUGUCAAUGUCCAGACCAUGUUCAGGCUCUUCCCCAGCCUCAGCAUUAUCACAGAGCUGACCCACCCCUCCAACAUGAGGUUCAUGCAGUUCAGAGCAAAGGACAGUUACUCUCUUGCUCUUUCCAAGCUAGAAAAGAAAGAGCGAGAGAACGGCUCCAACCUGGCCUUCAUGUUCCGGCUGCCCUUCGCGGCUGGGAGGGUCUUCAGCAUCAGCAUGCUGGACACGCUGCUCUACCAGUCAUUUGUGAAGGACUACAUGAUCACCAUCACUCGGCUGCUGCUGGGCCUUGACACCACGCCGGGUUCUGGCUACCUCUGUGCGAUGAAGAUCACUGAAGAUGACCUGUGGAUCCGGACGUAUGGCCGCCUAUUCCAGAAGCUCUGCUCCUCCAGUGCUGAGAUUCCCAUCGGGAUUUACAGGACAGAGUCACACAUGUUUGCAACCUCUGAGCCCCACGACAUCAGAACGCAGUCACAGAUCUCAAUCAAUGUGGAGGACUGCGAGGACACAAAAGAUGUCAAAGAGCACUGGGGCAUUAAGACCAGCCACCACAGGAACUCGUGCUCCAGCGACCAGUCGGAGCACCCGCUGCUGCGGCGCAAGAGCAUGCAGUGGGCACGCCGGCUGAGCAGGAAGGGCAACAAGCACUCCAGCAAGACAGCCGAGUGGAUCAGCCAGCAGCGCCUCAGCCUGUACCGGCGCUCCGAGCGCCAGGAGCUCUCCGAGCUCGUCAAAAACCGUAUGAAGCACCUGGGCUUGCCCACAACCGGGUACGAGGAUGUAGCAAAUUUAACAGCCAGUGAUGUGAUGAAUCGGGUAAACCUGGGAUAUUUGCAAGGUAAUUCCCUUUCCCUGGGAGUCCCGCGUGACUCAUGGUGUGCAGCGUACAACAAGAUCAUGCCAGCUAAGCCCAAACCACACACCCCUGCCGGUUUUCACCUUAGAUUCCCGAGCCUUUCAAGCACUGAUUUGUCUGUUUUGGAAAACAAAAGACAACAGAGGCUCCACAAAGCCAUGGAGAUCAAAACCUCAGGGACCCUUUUCUAGCUGAAUUCUCACAGGGAAAUCACAGCCCUCGGCUGUCAGUAGAAGAAACCCUCCCUCCAUCGCUCUGCAAGUUGGUUUUGGUCUGUAAAGCCAGGGGCAGUUUGAGGAGGGGGUUUGUGGGGGGGCUGAGCACAGCAGAGCCGCUAUUGUGGGCUGUGAUGAGAUGCUGCAGAUGCUGCACCAGCCCCUUCUUCUCUUGGCCCCACAUGGGUCAGCCACAGCUCAGGGGCCAGGCAGCACUUAGAAAGCCCUUCACAAUCCUUGCCUUGUGUUCUUUAGCAUUAGCAGACCCUGUUUUCUAACCCAGGCAGCAGCUCCUGCAGGAGCUGCCCAUGCUGCAGCCACCCCGAGCACUUUGGUGGUGUCUGCAGUGUUGUUGCAUCAUUUACACCUUUCCACAGUGAUGUACAGAGCCCUGGAAAGGCCCCUUUUUACUGCAGCAGCCAGGGGUUAGCAAUAGCCCAUUCUUGCUGUAUUUUAGGCUUCACUAGCCUGUGCUUAAGGUGAAAAGUUGGCAUUUUCCUAUGAACUGUCCUUCAUCAGAGCAGCAGCCCCAGCCGGGGCUCAUGGAAGCCCCACGCCAGCACAGUAUAUUGCCAGCAGGGUGGAGGGUGCUGGGCAGAGCUCGGACCCCGCUGGCAUCUCCAUAUCCUGCAGAAGAGCUGGGGUUGAGCGAACACCACAGAGGGUCCAGCACCGUCGAUUCACCCCAAACCAGGACACCUCAUGAGUGAACGUCUGACGUGGUGUCAUCACUGCCGGGUGCAGGAGCUGGAGCUCAGUGCUGGCUCCCCCCCAAAAUAAACCCAAUAAUUGCUGGAGGGCGCUGCUGGGCUGAGCCCCGCCACUGUGCCGCAGGGGACCACAUGGCAAUAUACUUGGUGGGUUCAGCAGUGCCUGGCUUGGCUGCAUGGGGGUCAGGAAAAGGUGCUUCCAUGGAGCAGGGAAACCUGCCGCGAGCCAGGGCCCUUCCCACCUCCCUCCUCAUGUCAAACCCCAUGUGUCCCGCCGGGUCCCAGGGUCCGUGUUUGCCACCCGCACCCCAGCAUUGCCACCCCCUGUCCCUGCCUCGCUGUAAGGCUGAGCACUGGGAUGGACAAAGCCCAAGAGACCGGCUGGUACCCAGGGCUGGACACCCUGGUACAGCAUCUCCCUGCGGUGGCCUCAGUCUGCUAUGUGGCCUCAGAGAUGCUGGGAGGUCUCUAAGCACCACAACAAGGGUCUCAUGUCCCCCUGCAAGCUCUGCUUUGUGCAGUCCAGCUGCAGGGAUGCCCUGGGACCCACCUGGAUGUGCACUGGCCAAAUACAUGUGGGGGCCUGUUUGCAUCCCUGAGCAGGGUGCCAGGCCAGGCGGCUGCGGUGGCUUGAGCUGCUGUUACUUAUUGUACAGCUACAGAAAAGCCCUAUUUCAGAGGUUUCACCCCAGUCUUGAGGCUGAAGAGCAAUUGGCUUGGCCACUACCUCGUGCUCAGGGUGAUCAUGCACCUAUGGGUGCUGUUAUGGCCAGAGACUCACCUUGUGUCCUGCUGUGCGCUGGGCAGCCUUUGACUGGGGGAUCCCCCCAGGCAGGGCGACAGCAGGGAUGGGGUGGUGGGAGCAGCCCUUCUCCUGGUGGCCAUUUCCUGCUGCUGCCAAACUGAGCUGCGGUUGUCUGAGACCAACAACCGUCUGGUGUGCACUGAUGCUGCUCAGAGGGACCUUUCUGACAGCCCAAGAGGCGUCCCAGUGACAAGCCUUGCAGCGAGCUGGCGUCCCACCGUGCUGCUCAUGCUGCCCCUGGCAUCUGUCUAUCCAUCCCCUUUCCAUCCUGUCCAUCCACACCCCGUCACUCUGUCUGUAAAUGAUGUUAUUUGUCGCAGCUCCCCCCCUCCCCGGCCGCCCGCAGCCUUGCACCCCCAUUCAUUUCACCUAUGAUCUUGUUCUCAGCUAUUUUGGAAAGCACAGGCCCCCCCUGGCCCUGGGGCCAUCCCCUUGCCUCUGCAGCACCCAUGGGUGCAGCUCUCGGUGGCCCUGAGCCCUUCCCUGGGUGGUCACUGUAGUUUAGAGCCAUCCCUGAAUGGCAUCGAUGGCUCUGAAACUCCAUGGAGUUGGUUUCCCUUGGGCAGGAGAAAGAAGCAAUUGUUGAACUAAAUCCUGUUGCUUGAUGAGACUAAAUUAAGUAAUGCAAGAAGGGGAGAAGCGGGCAGAGUGGCCUGGGGGGGUUUGGCUGCCCUGAGCUGGUGGUUGGACUCGUUGUGCUAUACCUAACAUGGCAAGACUAACCUGUUCCCUUUUUGCAUUGAACCAAGAUGAGAUGAACGACCACCAGAACACGUUGUCCUACGUCCUGAUCAAUCCCCCUCCGGACACUCGGCUGGAGCUCAAUGACAUCGUGUACCUGAUCCGCUCUGACCCGCUGGCCCACGUGGCGAACGACGGCCACAGCCGCAAGAGCAGCUACAGCAACAAGGUGGGUCCCUGCAACCCCGAAACACGCGACGAGACCCAGCUCUGAGCAGCCCCUGCCCGGGACAGGGUGAGGAUGAGGACGGCGGCUGAGGGGAAGGCGGCCACUGCUGCUGCUGCCCAUGGGUGCCCUGGGGGACAGUGAUGCCCAGCCUGGCUGUGUGCUGUGGAAGGGGUGCCCGGGCCCCCAGAGGGACGGGACAGACGGACAGACACCCGCAGGUGCGCGCCCCGUGGCUUUUAACUUUUUAUACCAAUACCGCAACUAGUGAGAAAGUCUUCGCUGGUGCUGGUGGGACGUGGCUGAGACCAGAUGACAAAUGACCCUGUGAGAGCAGGAGGACUGUGUUGAAUAUUACCCCCCGAUGAUGCAGGUUGCUUGCAUUUGAUGGGGUUUGUCAAGACAAGAGCAAAACUGCACCAAAACCUUCCUCCUUCACCAGGUAUCCCCCCGGGGUACCCAAACUUCUCUUUCACACAACUCAUGUUCUUCACCCUCUGUUGGUUUUCUGUUAUGGCAUCGAUGUGAGGAGCACUUGGAGCUGUGCCGGGAGGCAGAGCAGGAUGUGCUGGUGGCUGUGGGAUGGCUGGAAUAGGAUGGGACAUGGCCAGGCAGCCCGCUCCAGUGCCAUGGCAGGGCUGUACUGCCUCCGGUGCACCUUGGCCUCUCACAAACCAAAACCCACCAAAACCAGGUGACUAAAAGCCAAUUGCCAUCCCUGUGGCAAUGCCUCUUGCCAUACGUGCCCAACUCUAGCACAAGCCCUGGCUGUGGGCAUGGUGCCCCUGGGUUUGUGUCCCCCAUCGAGCUCAUCCCCCCUUGCUGCUGCUGUUGGAGCUGGGCUGCCCGGGGCUCCCACUGGGAUGGGUUGGGACAGGCUGGCCGGGGACAUGUACUUUUGGGGUCGGUGCCUCAGCUCAGCCCCUUCCCCUCUUUCCAGGGGCAGUUUGGGGCCCGACAUCCCCUCGACUGCACAGCCUGGAAGUGACUGUCCCUCCCUCCCUUCCCGUGGGGCAUGACCAGUGCCACCAUCAAGGCAGCAGGUUCUGCCUGCGCCCCCCGCCCACUGCAGCCCCCCAGCAGCUCUAUCCAUCCUUGCUCGACUCUCUAACCCAGCAAAAGCAUGUGUCUGCAGCAGAGGUGCAUGAAUGUACAGAACAGCGUUAACCCGAACCCCAGAGCACUGCCUACGCUGGCCAACCGCUUCCAACUGCACCCGCAGAGACCUUCCCAGAGCAGAUACACCAGAUGCGUUUUCCAUCUAUUUUUGCACUUGUAAAGGUUUUCUUUGGCUGCCAAGUGAAUAACUGACUUGUUACCUUUAUAUACCUUUACAUUCAUAUAUUAAAACUCCAAUGCGCUUUCUUUUUUGUUAAUGAGAAGCCUGUAAAGCACAACGUUGCCAUGAAAUCCCAUAAGCCAUCCUGGACUUGCUGCCAGCUGAAUGGUUUAGUGCCAUUAACGUUUGACUUUUGUUCCCCCAUGACACUCCCAAUAAAAGCUGUUUACAAAAGCAAACCAAACCAUAAAUACCUGUUUAAAAUUGCAGUUCCAAACAGUUGUGAGAUGGGCUUGAGGGGAUCCUAUUUAUUUCUUUUUAACUCCUAUUUGUUCCUGAUGUGUUGGUCACGAGGCCCUGUGUGAUCUGCACUGGGGACUAUCAGCUGAUGGUACAUCAUGGGCUUGGAGAGGCACUGCAGGUGAAAGCAAUGAGCCCAGCCCAACCCUUCUGCUACACUUAGGUGUGCGCACAAACAACACUGUCUCUGAUGGGGUUUUUUGGGUUGUUUUGGGGUUUUUUCCAGUUAUUGAGGGUUUUAAUCUAGAUGCCAGAUGUUUGAUUUAUUUCCAUUUGUAACACAGCAUGCCAAAAAUAUUGUUUGAAAUGAAUAAGUUGCUGUAGGCUGAAAAAGAGAGUGAAGUUGAAGCACAAAAGCACACACUGGGUCUGUGUUAAAGCCCCAAGAGGCUCAGAUAACUCCAGAAAUGCCUCAUUACCUGUUAGUGUAUUUAAUUAUCUAGAUUACAGCCGAUUGUUUUCCAGUUCCCACUUUGCUUUCAAGGGCAUGUGGAACAAAGCAGUAUUAAGGGUUUAAUAAAACCCAAACACCAAAACCCCAAGCAGUGUGUGGGUGCUGUGAUUAUCUGCAUGAGUUGAACUGCUCAGAACAUCACAGGUUUUAGUAUGUCCCAUCCCUGGCAGUGUUCAAGGCCAGGUUGGAUGGGGCUUGGAGCAACCUCCUUUAGUGGAAGAUGCCCCUGCCCAUGGCAGACGCUUGGAGCUGGAAGAGCUUUAAGGUCCCUGCAACCCAAACCAGGCUCAUUCUAUGAUUUUUUUGUCUCCAUUUAACUGGAUGCUGGUGGACGGGUUCUGUAAGUGCUGCAUUCUGCAGUUAAGCCCAGCCCCGAAAUGACCCAGCACCGAGCAUCCAAGUCGGCCACGUGCUGCUGGGUAAGGGGUCCCCGUGCCAGAGCCCCCCCCCGGCCACACAGGAGCUCAGCUUUAAGCACCUCCUUCCUCCCUGGGCACUCUGAAUUCUUACUGACCCUUAAUACAAGGAGAUACUCAAUCUAAGAGGAAACCCACAUAACAAAAGCAGUAUAAACUCUCUCUGGUUUGCGAUACUAUUAAAUAAUAACCCUCCAUAUGACUGUAUUUUGACAAUGCUUCUGUUUUUGUUUAAGGUAUAAAUAGCUGUAUUUAAACAGAAAGCUACGUGUAUAAACCAUCCGCGUUUUGCAGACGUUCUUUCUAUGGUGUAUAUUUAUAGCAGACAUUCUACUGGGAUGUUGAAAUCAAUACUGUAGAUACUUGCCUGUGGUCAAUGCAAGUCUGAGAACAAACGUUUAAUUUUUCUAAUUCUUUAGACUCAGCUACAAUACUAAUGUAAAAACAGAAGUAUUUUAUUUUUGUAAUGGGCCUGGGAAUGCUGAUGCAUCAAGAAGAGCCAUUUCUGCUUCUAAAGAGCUGUCUUGGAGGGGGCCAGCCCCCAUCCUGCACUUCCCACAGGGACAAUGAGCUUGGAAAAAUAGGAUUUGCUGAAGGGAAUGGUUGUGUUCCACUGUGGAGAUGUGACAGGCCCUGGGGGAAGGCAGAAAUGAGGAUGGCCGCAGUAGUUUCAGGUUUAGCAGCAAAUGGCUCCAUCGCAUGUUACGUGUCCACUAAUGGUUUCCUACACUAAAUAUGGACUAAAUCCAUAUAUCCUGCAUUAAAAUUGAAUAUUAAACCAAA